AGUCACUGGCGAGACCGGGCCCACGUGUCAUGCGCAGCCAACCCCCGGGGUUAGUUUCUCGUUAAGCUAAACCGCACCGCGAGUCCGCGACGGGGGAGAUGGAGGAGUAGACGCAAUCCCACACGCGAAUCCCGUCGAAUCGAGCCCAGCAGCACGCGAGGAAUAAACCAUCGGGGGAGGAAGAAGGGGGAGCGCGAGGUGGGCCCCGGGAUGCAGGCGCAGAGGUCCCCGGCGAUGGUGGGCGGCGGCGGCGCGGCAACGGCGGCGGCGUCGGUUGGGAUGCCGUCGCAGGCGACGGUGCCUGUGCGGCGGCGGUGCGAGGGCACGGCCAUGGGGGCCAUCACCCUCGACCUCCGCCCCGGCCUCGGCGUCGGCCCUUUCACCCUCGGGAUGCCGAUCUCUGAUGCAUUUGCACAGAUAGAGCACCAGCCCAAUAUCUACGACGUUGUCCAUGUUAAGUACUUCGACGAGGAGCCUCUCAAGUUGGACUUUGUCAUUAGCUUUCCGGACCAUGGAUUCCACCUACGUUUUGAUCCUUGGUCGCAGAGGCUCCGUCUCAUAGAGAUUUAUGAUGUCAAAAGAUUGCAAUUGCGAUAUGCAACAUCUUUAAUUGGCGGUCCGUCAACAUUAGCCACUUUUGCAGCUGUUUAUGCACUCUUUGGACCAACCUUCCCUGGUAUAUAUGACAAAGAGAGGGGAAUUUAUACUCUAUUCUACCCAGGUUUAUCCUUUGCAUUCCCUAUUCCCAGCCAGUAUACAAAUCUGUUCACAAACGGGGAAGUGGCAGAUUUGCCCCUCGAGUUCCCAGAUGGAACAACCCCUGUCACAUGCCGAGUUUCUAUAUUUGAUAGCUCAACCGAUAGCAAGGUUGGUGUUGGAUCAUUGAUGGACAAAGCAGCUACACCUGCAUUGCCUGCAGGCAGCCUGUAUAUGGAGGAGGUGCACGCAAAGCUUGGUGAAGAGCUUUGGUUCACAAUAGGGGGCCAACGUAUUCCUUUUGGUGCAUCACCACAGGAUGUCUGGACUGACUUGGGUCGUCCAUGUGGUAUCCAUCAAAAGCAGGUCGACCAAAUGGUAAUACACUCUGCAUCAGACCCCCGCCCAAGGACAACACUCUGUGGUGAUUACUUCUACAACUAUUUCUCCCGCGGAAUUGAUAUCUUAUUUGAUGGACAGACACAUAGGAUAAAGAAGUUUGUUUUGCAUACAAACUUCCCUGGCCAUUCAGAUUUCAAUUCCUAUAAGAAAUGCAACUUUGUUAUCUAUGAUGCUGAAGUUGAAGGGACAUAUCAGCCUGGUAAUGUCUCCAAGAAUUGCAUCACACCUCGUACAAAAUGGGAACAAGUCAAGGAGAUCCUCGGUGAUUGUGGUCGAGCUGCGAUCCAGACACAAGGCUCGAUGAAUAAUCCGUUUGGAUCAACUUUUGUAUAUGGAUAUCAGAAUAUUGCUUUUGAGGUAAUGAAAAAUGGAUAUAUUGCAACGGUUACUCUCUUCCAAUCAUGAGUGUGCUACUUGUGGUGCUGCUCCGAAAUCUGGCUGCAUAGGUUAGAAAUGCUGGCUGACCUACACUUCACCAAAAUGGAACUUUCAAAAAUAAGCCGCGCAGUCAGUGUGGACCAGCAUCGUGACAUGUAAUUUGCUCUGUAGAAGAUGCCAGUCAUUGUACAGGAACUAACUGUACCCUGCAACCUCACCUUGUGUACAUAAAUGAUCUUUAUUUGUUGGAAAAAAAGGAAAUGUACAUACGCACUGCACUAUUGUCAGGUGGGGGAACGUUGUAGUUCGUCUCGUGUGAAUACUGAAUGUGAUUUGCAAGAAGAUCCGUGGUCUCUGA